rnacentral:rRNA from 2 species
AAGGAUCAUUAAAGAGUAAGGGUGCUCAGCGCCCGACCUCCAACCCUUUGUUGUUAAAACUACCUUGUUGCUUUGGCGGGACCGCUCGGUCUCGAGCCGCUGGGGAUUCGUCCCAGGCGAGCGCCCGCCAGAGUUAAACCAAACUCUUGUUAUUUAACCGGUCGUCUGAGUUAAAAUUUUGAAUAAAUCAAAACUUUCAACAACGGAUCUCUUGGUUCUCGCAUCGAUGAAGAACGCAGCGAAAUGCGAUAAGUAAUGUGAAUUGCAGAAUUCAGUGAAUCAUCGAAUCUUUGAACGCACAUUGCGCCCCUUGGUAUUCCGAGGGGCAUGCCUGUUCGAGCGUCAUUACACCACUCAAGCUAUGCUUGGUAUUGGGUGCCGUCCUUAGUUGGGCGCGCCUUAAAGACCUCGGCGAGGCCUCACCGGCUUUAGGCGUAGUAGAAUUUAUUCGAACGUCUGUCAAAGGAGAGGACUUCUGCCGACUGAAACCUUUAUUUUUCUAGGUUGACCUCGGAUCAGGUAGGGAUACCCGCUGAACUUAA